GUAGGUGGCAAGCGUUGUCCGGAAUUAUUGGGCGUAAAGCGCGCGCAGGCGGUUCUUUAAGUCUGAUGUGAAAGCCCACGGCUCAACCGUGGAGGGUCAUUGGAAGCUGGAGAACUUGAGUACAGAAGAGGAAAGCGGAAUUCCACGUGUAGCGGUGAAAUGCGUAGAGAUGUGGAGGAACACCAGUGGCGAAGGCGGCUUUCUGGUCUGUAACUGACGCUGAGGCGCGAAAGCGUGGGGGAGCAAACAGGAUUAGAUACCCUGGUAGUCCACGCCGUAAACGAUGAGUGCUAAGUGUUAGGGGGUUUCCGCCCCUUAGUGCUGCAGCUAACGCAUUAAGCACUCCGCCUGGGAGUACGACCGCAAGGUUG
rnacentral:rRNA from 1 species